rnacentral:rRNA from 1 species
UUGAUCCCUGGCUCAGAUUGAACGCUGGCGGCAGGCCUAACACAUGCAAGUCGAGCGGAUGACAGGAGCUUGCUCCUGAAUUCAGCGGCGGACGGGUGAGUAAUGCCUAGGAAUCUGCCUGGUAGUGGGGGACAACGUUUCGAAAGGAACGCUAAUACCGCAUACGUCCUACGGGAGAAAGCAGGGGACCUUCGGGCCUUGCGCUAUCAGAUGAGCCUAGGUCGGAUUAGCUAGUUGGUGGGGUAAUGGCUCACCAAGGCGACGAUCCGUAACUGGUCUGAGAGGAUGAUCAGUCACACUGGAACUGAGACACGGUCCAGACUCCUACGGGAGGCAGCAGUGGGGAAUAUUGGACAAUGGGCGAAAGCCUGAUCCAGCCAUGCCGCGUGUGUGAAGAAGGUCUUCGGAUUGUAAAGCACUUUAAGUUGGGAGGAAGGGCAGUAACUUAAUACGUUGCCGUCUUGACGUUACCGACAGAAUAAGCACCGGCUA